UGAGAUUCUGGUGCUUUGUCCAUAC
rnacentral:piRNA from 1 species